rnacentral:rRNA from 1 species
UAAUUUUGACCUCGUCUAGAGUAAGAGUACCCGCUGAACUUAAGCAUAUCAAUAAGCGGAGGAAAAGAAACCAACAGGGAUUGCCUUAGUAGCGGCGAGUGAAGCGGCAAAAGCUCAAAUUUGAAAUCUGCCUUACGGCCGAGUUGUAAUUUGUAGAUGGUAACUCUGUGGCAAGCCUUUGCUCAAGUUUUCUGGAAAGAAACAUCAUGGAGGGUGAUAAUCCCGUGAGGCAUUGGUGCAGCUGCGUGUAGAGUGCUAUCAAAGAGUCGAGUUGUUUGGGAAUGCAGCUCAAAGUGGGUGGUAGACACCAUCUAAAGCUAAAUAUUGGCGAGAGACCGAUAGCGAACAAGUACUGUGAAGGAAAGAUGAAAAGCACUUUGAAAAGAGAGUGAAAAAGUACGUGAAAUUAUUGAUACUGAAGGGUAUAAAAUUGGACUCAAGGCCUAGGUUCGGUAGCCUCUCGGGGUUGCUUUGUCCUAGGCCCUAAACCAGCAUCAGUUUUGGCAGGUGGAUAAACAACAUGGAAUGUAGCUGCUUGCAGUGUUAUAGACUUGUUGCAUACGCCUUGCCGGGACUGAGGACUGCCUUUGUAGGAUGCUGGGGUAACGAUUUUAUACCACCCGUCUUGAAACACGGACC